rnacentral:lncRNA from 1 species
CAGAGCCAUUAAAGGACUUGCUCCAAGACAGAGCUUGUAUUCGAACUUAAGCCCGUCUGUUCCAAAGCCAGCCUUCCCCACCCGUCUCGAUGCCUCUGACUGGCUUUGUUUGUUUGUUUCACCACCUCAUUUUAUUUUAUUUUUUGCAGGGGUGGGUGGUGGUGCCUGCCCCCGCCACCCCCGUCCCUGCUGUUCAGUGUGGGGCUGUUCAGUGCCUCCUCACUCCCCACCCUGUUGACACGGGGCUGUUGCCGGGCUGGUUUUGUUUUUGACCCAGUCAGCCUGGCAGGGAAGUGGCGGGCUGUGUGCAGAGCUUCCCAAAAUAGCCCCAGGCUCCCCGCCAAAGAUAGAAGAGCCAGACUGUGUGCGAUGGGCUUGGACCGGUUAAGAUGACUCAGUUCCCUGCACCCUAGCCACCCCCUCUUCUUCUUCCUUCCCUCAAGCUUGCCUGCCCCGAGCUUCCCCCAGCCCAGGCCCCCAGAUGCUGCUUCAUACCCUGGUGUCCCCUUAGGUGGCUUCACUCUCGGGAGUGCCCAGAGGCCACCAGGGGCCGCCAGCCUUGGGGUGCUGGCUGGGGUGGGUAGCCCUGGGCCUGGGGUUCUCAUUCCCUUGCUAUGACUAACUUGCCCCAUGACCUUGACCACAUCCCCGUCAGCCUCUUGGCCUCAGUUUCCAGUUGGAGAUGGGGAGAGAGCGUCUCUCCUCCGCCUCAUGUGUCAUCAGGGGACAGGGUCCCAAACAGCGGUGGGAAGACUGGUGAUAAUAAUAUCGACGAAUUUCUUCUCAUCUUGGCUGUUUUGAGUGUGAGGAUACAGUUCAAAGGGAAGCCCUCCACUAGCAGGGCUGUCCCAGCAUCACCACCCCCUUCAUCGUGGUACUUACUGAUGGCAGCCGCUGCCGUUUCUUGUGUGAUGUGUUCCCAGGCUAGGGGUCCAAUUAAAGCUGUAGCCGCUAGCCUACACCAGAGCCACAGCAACGUGAGACCCAAGCCGUGGAUGUGACCUAUACCACAGCUCAUGGCAAUGCUGGAUCCUUAACCCAGUGAGCGAGGCCAGGGAUGGAACCUGCAUCCUCAUGGUUCCUAGUCAGAUUUGUUUCCACUGAGCCACGACUGGAACUCCUGGGUUCUGUCUUUGAUGUCUCUCUUACCCCCUCCUCCAGGGUAAGCCUGUCCCUGCUCUAGGCUUUGCCCUCCAGAUCCUGAACCCAAUCUCUUGGGAACUGCCCUUGGCAGACAGAGCAGCUGGGAGAUACUGUCUAUAGUCACCCAGGGAACCUGACAUAGGUAACCCCGCUAAGGCUUGAUCUCCAAAGAGGACCCUGGGGGUAGUUCCCCAAUGGCACAGAGUUAAGGAUCCAGCAUUGUUACUGCUGUGGCUCAGGUUUGAUCCCUGGCCCAGAAACUUCCACAUGCUAUAAAUGCAGCCAAAAAAAAAAAAAAAAAGAGUGGAGUUCCCAUUUUGGCUCAUCAGGUUAAAGACCCACUGUUGUCUCUGUAGGGAUGGUGGUUUGGUCCCUGGCCUCACUCCGUGGGUUAAGGGUCUGGUGUUGCUGCAAGUUGUGGCAUAGGUCACAGAUAUGGCUUGGAUCCGGUGUUACCAUGGCUGUGGUGCAGGCCCACAUCUGUAGCUCCCAUUCUACCCUUGGCCCAGGAACUUCCAUAUGCCUCAGUCGCGGCCAUAAAAUGGUACAUAAAUAAAUAGCCCUGGGAUGUAAAGGCAUCUCUGGAAUUAAAGGGGUCACCCCUUCAACUAAUUAAUUAAUUUCCAUGCAGCUGAUUUAUAAUGUGUUAGUUUUGGGUGUACAGCAAAGUGAUUUAGUUAUAUAUAUAUACAUAUAUAUGUGUAACAGAAUAAUAUAUAUUCUUUCUCAUAUUCUUUUCCAUUAUGGUUUAUUAUAAGGCAUUGAAUAUAGUUCCCUUUGCUAUACAAUAGGACCUUGUUUAUUUUGUAUAUAGCAGUUUGUAUCUGCUAAUCCCAAACUCCUAACUUAUCCCUCACCCCACUCCAAUACCCCCCUUUAUAGGCUGCACACUGAAGCAGCUUCACAAAACAGCCAGCAAGCAUUUCCCAAGCACAGGCCCUGAGGUGUGUUCCCACUCCUGGCAGAACCCUGGGAGGCCUGAUUAUUCCAACCCUGCAGAUGAGAAAGAAAUGUAGUUCAGUGAGGUCAGCCACCCUUGAGGACAUUGGCUCUGACAUGGUAGUGCCAGGACUUGUUCCCAGUCUGCCCAGUACUCUUGCUGACCCUCUUGGGUCCAGAGAGUGGGAAGCCCUUGGCCUCCACGCCCCAGCCCUCUUCCUUGUUCCUGCCCCUCCUCCUCUGUCGGCACAAGCGCACAUGGGCAGGGGUGGGCCUGAGCAGGUGUCUGUGGCCACUGGGGGCUGCCCAGCUGGGUUCCAUCCCCAGAUUGGGCUUCCGAUGCUGUUUGUCUCCACGCCGGUGGCUGGUGUGGUUAUAUUUAUACGCAUCACCAUGUGUGUUUAUGUGUGUGCGUGUUUGUUUUUGCUUUGUGACUGGUCUCCUUGUGCUGUGUCCCCUGGGUCAGGGCCUGGCAGGGUUUAGGGGCAGGGUGCAUAUGAGUCUCCUCAGGACCUCGUCAGCUGUGAGAUGAACCAGGGCUGAGGCACAGUUGUCUCCCUGUUUUGUGGUGAAAAACAUUGACAUGCAGAGAUGCAAGCCCUCAUCCUCAAUUCCGAACUCCAGCAAGCUCUGAAAACCAAACACUUUUUCAUAACUCAUUUGGCAGCAAAAUCCCGCCUGAACCGAGGUGAGGCUAUUUAUAGUCCAAGUGAAGCUAUUUAUAGCCCUUAUGUAUUCUGUGUUCAUGUAUUUUGCUGCAGAAGUGUCCACAGACUUGACUGUUGGAUGCUGCUGAAAUACGCAGUAGUAUCCAUCUAAAGUGCAGGGCGUUCUGAAUUCUUAAAUGCAUCUGACCCCAAGGGUCAGCCUUCUCCCUUUGUACAAGUUGCAAAUAGCCUCUGCCCCUGCUACCCCUACCCAGUGUCCCUCCCAGUGUCCCCUUCCUGGAGCUAAAAUGGUGAUGCCACUCACAGGGGCCUCCAGGACUCCACCCAGCACCAGUGGCAGUGUUCAGUGGAGAGAUGUUUUCAUAUUCACUCUGGAUGAUAGAACACAUCUUUGGUGCCAGGCAUGGUGUGGGGUGCUCCCUGCAUGUAGUCUGACACCCUUCUUUAGAUGAAUCACCAGCCCCCCCUUUUACAGAUGAGUAAACUGAGACUCAGACUCUUAAGUAUCAUAUCUAAGGACAGACAGGGAAGAAAAGGAAGUGCAAAGGCUCAAACUUGCCCUCCCAUCUUGCUGUCUCUCUGCCGGGAAUCUGGGGACACAGCAAUGAACUCCUUCAAUUUGUAGCCAAAGCCUGUUGAAACAGGGAGGGAGGGAACAUCUGGGUCCCAGAUGUGUAUGCAGGGGUGCAGACAGAUGCAAGCCAGGACCAUCCCCUGGCAGGGAGGAGGAGGAGAAGCAGGAAGCCCUUGGCGCUCCAGAGCCUCCCCUGGGACCUACUGCCUAUCCCCGGUUGCACCUGUGUCAUCCCCCUCACUUGUCUGUUCCCAGCAGCUGGUGGCUGAGAGCACUCAUAGCUGCUUGGCCCCUGGUCUUUUCUGCAGUACUCUCUGACUGCAGGCACCCAGGGAGUUGGCAUAACUGCUCUAUAACCCCAUUUGCCUGCUGUUUUGGGCGGACUGGCUCCCCCCAUAACCUGCAGGAGCUUCCUUGCAUCUGGGAACUUUGGCAGACCCCGAAGUCCCCAAGGGUGUGAGCUCCCCAGUGUGCAAGCUCUUUCCUAUGCCUCUCCCACCAUCCUGUGACACCUAAGGAUGCCUUCUCACCUUCCAUGGCCGCCCUGCCUCAGAGCCUCUGCUCAGCCUCUUGCCCACUGAGAACGCCUCCCACCCCCUAGCAAAGCUGUACCUGUCCUGCAGUGCUGUUGCACUGGGCGAGAGCCCAUCUGUGAGGGCUGCAGUUUCCUCAUCUGCAGGGUGGGCUUGGAAUGGCUGCCCUCACUGAGCUGUUGGUGAACUGGCCUUAGGGCAGCUGCCUGACAUGGUAUGUGCUUUGGCAUGAGAUCCACUAGCAGGGACUUUCUUCCUGCUUGCCCUCUGGGCUUACAAACUUUCCCAGAGCUGUCAUGGACUUAAAGAAGUCUGCUGUGGCCCAUUGUAGAGAGCUUUAGGUUGAGAGGCUAGGGCUCUAGACUCCAGUUCCAGCUCUGCCCUGGCUCCUGAGAGGGAGAGGAAGGAGGAGGCUUGAAUGCAUGGAUGCAUGGAUGGAUAGAUGGAUGGAUGCAUGGCAUGGAUGCAGGGGUGGAUGGGUGGAUGGAUGGUUGGAUAGAUGGUUGGAUGGAUGCGUAGAUGGAGAGAUGAAUAGACGCAUUGAUGGAUAGAUAAACAGAUCAACCCCCUGCCCCUCCCUGGGCCUUAAUUUCCCAUCUUACAAUGAUAUGGUUGGGUAACAAGUGCGCCUUCAGCUUCUGAGUUCUGUGAUUCCAUCUCUGUCAACCUAGCACCCUUGAAGACCCCUUCCUCACUCCAGGCCCCUUCCUGCAGAGCACCGCACUUGUGCCCAGGGGCUCUGGAGCCCUCCCUUGGUUUCAUUUUCCAACUGCCCUUUGUGUGUUCCCAGGGCUGGCCUCAACCCCAGCCUUCAUCCUCUCCCCAUGCGGUUUGGGCUCUGCCUGUCUACUCAGUUGUGUAUUCUUCUGACUUUUUUCUUUUUUUCCUUUUGUGACAGAACCAUUUGUUUGUGUGUGGUGGGGGGAUCCUAUGCCCAUUCAGGAUGAACUCCUGAGUGAACAGUGGUGGGAAGCGAGCACCCUUAGGUAGGAGGGAAUGACACUUUCUAGAGCUGGGCAGAUUGGCGGUGGCAUCAGGCCCUGGGGACCCACAGGAGAUGACAUGUGGCCUCUGGUCCUUGGAGAACUCCGUUUGGUGAAGGAAAAUAAGAUCUCAGAGCAGCGCAGGCAUGGAGCAGCACUCUCCACGGUAACCCAUGUCCCCCGUGCAGAGAGCUUGGUGGAGGGAAGGCAGCUGUGGCUAAGGAGGCUGUGGGCCAGGGACGGCAGGGCUCAGCUCGCUAGGCUGGGGGUCCUCUAGGAGAUGGGGACCCAGAGGAUGGCACUUAGUGCAGGCGUCCAGACCAGCUGGGGACCUCCAUGCAUGAGGUUGUCCCAUCACUACUUUAUAUAAGGCCUUGAGUGCCAGGAUGAUAAAAGUGAAUUCUUGAAGAUUUUAAGCAGGAAGGUGGCAUAGUCAAGUCCCGUCUCUUACAGUAAGCUGGGGAGUCUUUGGUGAAAAAUCAAGGGGUAACUUGGGAAGCUCACCCAUGGUUGGUGCUCUGAGCCCCUAAGACCCAGGAGCUGAGAUGCUGGUUCAGUGAAAAAGGAGUGGCUGCCAAGACAUAUUGGGUAAAGAAGUGAAACUGAUAAAUGAAGCUUUACCUGACUUUUUUUCUGAAAAAAAUUUUUUUGGAGAUGAAAUUCACAUAACAUAAAAAACCGAACUAGGAGUUCCUGUUGUGGCUCAGUGAGUUAAGAACCCAAGUGUCUGUUAGGAUGUGUGUUCCAUCCCUGGCUUCGCUUUGUGGAUUAAGGGUCUAACAUUGCUGCUAACUAUGAUCCGACCUUGUGCAGCUGGCAGCUGCAGCUUCUAUUUGACCCCUAGCCUGGGAACUUCCAUGUGCCGCAGGUGUGGCU